rnacentral:rRNA from 1 species
CAAGACUCCUACGGGAGGCAGCAGUGGGGAAUAUUGCACAAUGGGGGGAACCCUGAUGCAGCGACGCCGCGUGAGUGAAGAAGUAUUUCGGUAUGUAAAGCUCUAUCAGCAGGGAAGAAAAUGACGGUACCUGACUAGGAAGCCCCGGCUAACUACGUGCCAGCAGCCGCGGUAAUACGUAGGGGGCAAGCGUUAUCCGGAUUUACUGGGUGUAAAGGGAGCGUAGACGGCAGAGCAAGUCUGAAGUGAAAGCCCGCGGCCCAACUGCGGGACUGCUCUGGAAACUGUAAAGCUGGAGUGCGGGAGGGGCAGGCGGAAUUCCUGGUGUAGCGGUGAAAUGCGUAGAUAUCAGGAGGAACACCGGCGGCGAAGGCGGCCUGCUGGACCGUAACUGACGUUGAGGCUCGAAAGCGUGGGGAGCAAACAGGAUUAGAUACCCGGGUAAC